GGAUCUCAGUUCCCCCAACCAGUGAUCGAACCUGUGCCCCCUGCAGUGGAAGCGCAGAGUCCUAACCACUGGACCACCAGGGAAUUCCCAUUUUUGGUAUUUUUUUAAAGACGUCACAGUGUCGAUCUUUGUGGUGAAGAGCUUCAGAGGACUCCUGAGCCUGCCCUUGACCAGGGCAGGGCCAAGCUUGACCAAUGGAGCCUCUGAUCUCAGGAGCAGCUUCUCAAAGGCAAGAAAACAAGUUUGCAGAGAAUAUAUUGCUUUGAGCAAGACACUAAGAGGGAGUAAGAUGAAACCCAUCAUUCGGUGGAGUGAGUCGAAGAGCCCAGCCCAGAAGCUGCUCUAUCUCUGAAAGGUCCCUAUUAACCCAAUGGCUCUAAAACUAAAGUGAAUUUAUCAGUAUCCCCGCCAAAUGUGAAAGUCCCCCAAAUAAGGCUUCCUGAUUCCAUUUGACCAUUUCUGUUGAGAAAUAGGUUCAUUUUAAAUCCGGAGCUCUUGGUAUCUGAGAUCACAGGUCCAGACCCCUCAAGAGGGCAAUAAUAU